UACGUAGGGUGCAAGCGUUAAUCGGAAUUACUGGGCGUAAAGCGUGCGCAGGCGGUGAUGUAAGACAGGUGUGAAAUCCCCGGGCUUAACCUGGGAACUGCAUUUGUGACUGCAUCGCUGGAGUGCGGCAGAGGGGGAUGGAAUUCCGCGUGUAGCAGUGAAAUGCGUAGAUAUGCGGAGGAACACCGAUGGCGAAGGCAAUCCCCUGGGCCUGCACUGACGCUCAUGCACGAAAGCGUGGGGAGCGAACAGG
rnacentral:rRNA from 1 species